UAGAGCAGUUGACUCCCAGGUGUCUUCCAGUGUGUGGCCGUAUGCUGAGAUUCCAAACUGGGGCCAGUCGGGCCGCACAGGAGGGGGAGGUACUACGGCUUGCAUGUUGCAUCUUUGGACGCCUUGCUCCAGGUACAACCGUCCCGCAUACAAAGGUGGAGACUGGUACCCGAACCACUUCAAGGUGUCCCACAGGAUAGCGGGAAAACCCUCGAAGUGCAGACACGUCGAAUGGGAGAGGCCAUCUGCGCCAUAUAGGACAUGUCCGAGGGUGACCAUCUGGAACCAAGAACCAAAACAACGUGAGAUGAACUCUAAAGGCCAGGGGUCGGACAGAAAAAAGCAUCCGGAUUUUAACCGAGGACAAGCUGGAAGAAUAAAAAAAAUCCUUAGAACUAACGAAGAGCUCUUCCGAGCAAGGUUGCUUUUGAGGAGGGUGACUUUACAG
rnacentral:lncRNA from 1 species